GCAGAGCAUCCUACGGGAGGCAGCAGUGGGGAAUAUUGCACAAUGGGCGCAAGCCUGAUGCAGCCAUGCCGCGUGUAUGAAGAAGGCCUUCGGGUUGUAAAGUACUUUCAGCAGUGAGGAAGGUGGGUAUGUUAAUAGCAUACUCAUUUGACGUUAGCUGCAGAAGAAGCACCGGCUAACUCCGUGCCAGCAGCCGCGGUAAUACGGAGGGUGCGAGCGUUAAUCGGAAUUACUGGGCGUAAAGCGCAUGCAGGUGGUUUGUUAAGUCAGAUGUGAAAGCCCGGGGCUCAACCUCGGAAUUGCAUUUGAAACUGGCAAACUAGAGUACUGUAGAGGGGGUAGAAUUUCAGGUGUAGCGGUGAAAUGCGUAGAGAUCUGAAGGAAUACCGGUGGCGAAGGCGGCCCCCUGGACAGAUACUGACACUCAGAUGCGAAAGCGUGGGGAGCAAACAGGAUUAGAUACCCUGGUAA
rnacentral:rRNA from 1 species